UGGGGAAUAUUGCACAAUGGGCGAAAGCCUGAUGCAGCGACGCCGCGUGAGGGAUGACGGCCUUCGGGUUGUAAACCUCUUUCAGCAGGGACGAAGCGCAAGUGUCGGUACCUGCAGAAGAAGCACCGGCUAACUACGUGCCAGCAGCCGCGGUAAUACGUAGGGUGCAAGCGUUGUCCGGAAUUACUGGGCGUAAAGAGUUCGUAGGCGGUUUGUCGCGUCGUUUGUGAAAACCAGCAGCUCAACUGCUGGCUUGCAGGGGAUACGGGCAGGCUUGAGUACUGCAGGGGAGAGUGGAAUUCCUGGUGUAGCGGUGAAAUGCGCAGAUAUCAGGAGGAACACCGGUGGCGAAGGCGGGUCUCUGGGCAGUAACUGACGCUGAGGAACGAAAGCGUGGGUAGCGAACAGG
rnacentral:rRNA from 1 species